rnacentral:tRNA from 1 species
GCAUCAGUGGUCCAGUGGUAUGAUGAAUCGUUGCCAUCGAUUCGACCGGGGUUCGAUUCCCCGCUGAUGCA